rnacentral:misc_RNA from 1 species
CAAAAUUUCUGUUGUGGAUGGUGGGAAUCAUUCAGAGGAAUGCAGAAACCCUAUUGAGUAUGAUGAAAAUGGAAAUUAUUGUUUUGUGCUCAUUAAUCCCAAAGAUGAUGAUGGAAAAACCAAGUCUUUACUUCAGGAAGUAUUAAGCAUUUAUUCUAAAGAGCUUCCGGCCAUGAACUAUGCUGCAAACACAGGAAAAGAAUCACAAUUCCUUGAAAGAUGUGUAUCAAAUGGGAAGUACUGCACGCUAGUUCUGAAAACCAAGGAUGACAUAGACCCUGGGGAGGUUAUUGCAGCAAUCACUUAUCAAAUAAUUCCAGCUGAUAUGCAAUUUGCUGAGGUUCCUAUUGCUGCUGUUAAAUCAGUUUACCAACUCAAGGGGAUUGGUUAUUCAAUCUAUUUGGAGCUGAG